rnacentral:rRNA from 1 species
GACGAACGCUGGCGGCGUGCUUAACACAUGCAAGUCGAACGGAAAGGCCCUGCUUUUGUGGGGUGCUCGAGUGGCGAACGGGUGAGUAACACGUGAGUAACCUGCCCUUGACUUUGGGAUAACUUCAGGAAACUGGGGCUAAUACCGGAUAGGAUCUCCUGCUGCAUGGUGGGGGUUGGAAAGUUUCGGCGGUUGGGGAUGGACUCGCGGCUUAUCCGCUUGUUGGUGAGGUAGUGGCUUACCAAGGCUUUGACGGGUAGCCGGCCUGAGAGGGUGACCGGCCACAUUGGGACUGAGAUACGGCCCAGACUCCUACGGGAGGCAGCAGUGGGGAAUAUUGCACAAUGGGCGGAAGCCUGAUGCAGCAACGCCGCGUGCGGGAUGACGGCCUUCGGGUUGUAAACCGCUUUCGCCUGUGACGAAGCGUGAGUGACGGUAAUGGGUAAAGAAGCACCGGCUAACUACGUG